CGGGGCGGGCCGAGCGCGACGGGUCCGCGGGGAGCGACGGGGGUUCCCGAAGCCCGAGCGGGCCGGGCCUGACAAAGUGUCUGCCCGCCGCUCUGCGCGCUCUGCCGGCCCGCGGGCGCUGCUCCCGCGCUGCGUCACCUCAGGCACCGAGGCGCGGCGGAUCCCGGGGCGGACGGGACCUGCAAGGCAGCGGCUUGUAUCUGUACACUGGAGAAAGGUGGAUUGGAAAGGAUUGGGGAUUGAUGGAAGAACUGGAGCCUGAUUGCUGUGAGGAGGGACUGUGCCUUCAGCCUGGAAGGGGAUCUCAUCCAUGUCCAUAGAGGGAGGUGCAGGGAAGACAGAGCCACGCUCCUGUCAGCUGUAGCAGCACCAGGACCAGAGGUAUUGAGCAUGAACUGGAGCUCAGGACAUGAUGGUCCAAGAGGAAGGAAAGGACAAGGGAAGUUGUACAGAAGAAACAAUUCCAAAAUCACAAGCUGUACCUGUAUUUGUAGCACGCCUCUGUGCAAAGCUGUUUGUGAGCUGCAGGCUGUAACUGCUCGGAUAGCUGACAUUUUUCAUGUGGUUAUGAAGACCUGCCACAGUCCCGAACACGUUGUGGCUUGCAGGAAAGCCACUGUAAUUUGAAUGAUUGUGCUAAUUAAGAAAUAUAAUGCCAAUGGGAAUUUAGCUUCAUCUCAAAUGGCCAAGGAGGAACGGCAGCCUUUGAGUGCCUGGCUGGGAGGUAAUUCCCCUUCACAAGUCAGUAGAGAUGCAAAAAGGCUCAACAGAUGCUGCAGGAAGCAGUGCCUGUGGGGCAGCAGCUGGGUGAGGUGCUCCCUGGAUGGGAGCUGCUGGACAUGGGCAAUCUCAUGCCCCAGGGAAUGAUCCUUCCCACAGCAGUGCGAGCCGGUUGGAGAGUGCAGGAUGAGGAGGAAGAUUUGGGAUGGGGUUUUUAGCAUUUGGAGGAUGUUGACUCAUGAAUCAAGCAGUCUUCCAACCUAGUUUAUUAAAUACUUGCAAGCAUUG